ACAUCUUCGUCCUUGUGGUGAUGAUGGUGGUGGCGGGGGGACGUGGUGUUGGCAUUGGUGGUGCAGAUGGUGACGGGCAGGGAUGAUGAUGGUCCUGGUGGUGAUGGUGGUGGUGACUUUACAUAUUGGCAAGGAGAGUGAUUGUCAUGGGUUUAGUUUUGUUGUUAGGUUAGGUUAAGUUAAGUUAGGUUAGGUUAGGUUAGGUUAGGGUAUGCCAUGUUUGGUUAGGUUAGGCUUGGCUAGUUAGGUUAGAUAAGGUUAGGUUAGAUUAUGUACACACACACACACACACACACACACACACACACACACACACACACACACACACACACACACACACACACACACACACACACACACACACACACACACACACACACACACACACACGUUGCAUCACAGUCAAAGAGGAGAAUGACAGGUGAGGAAAGCAGUGGUUUAGGAAGGUGAGAAAAAGGUAGAGGUUAGGUUAGGUUAGGUUAGGUUAGACACAAAUAUCUGAAAAAAAAAAAAAAAGGAAAAUGGGAAUGGAUGAAAGCGAAACAUUUAAGGGAGCUGAGGGAAAGAGUGAGGUUAGGUUAGGUUAGGUUAGGUUACCGUAGGUUAGGUUAGCCACAAACAUCAAGAGCGAUAAAAUAAAUAAAACUAAAUGAAAAGGAAACAUUCGAGGAAGCUGAUGAACAGACGGAGGUUACAUUGGGUUAGGUUAAGUUAGACAUCAAGAACAGGAAAAAAAAAUAAAUAAAAUAAAUAAAACUGAAUGAAAAAGAAACAUAUGAGGAAGACCAGGUCACACAUAAACACCCGAAAAAUAGAAAAAAAAAAUAACUUAGAUAAAACCGAAAUAAGAUUGGACGAGUUAUGGAUGGGGGUGAUAGGUGAAAAUAGGUCGGUACAUUUCAUACAGGGACUACCACGUGUAAUCCUGGUCGCUUAUUGCACCUUCCCUUAUUUCUGAUGUUCUUAUGAAAUACUUAAGGAAGGCGAGGAAGAAGUGGAGGCAAGGCAAGGCAAGGCUAGGUUAGGUGAGGUGGUGAUAAUAGUGGCGCCCUGGGUUAUCUUGAUGGCAGUGGACAUGGGCGGGUGGGUAAGGGCAUGGGUGGGUCCGCAGUGUUAAGGUCAGGCGAUAUAAUUGCUUUCCGUUAUUUGGGCGGCGAGCCAUCUGCCGCCAAGGACGCAACAGGCUCCUCCGCCCUGCCUCGGUGGAUGCCUCGCCCUUAUUCGUGGAGAGGGAGAAAAAACUGAGCGUCCAGAGAGAGAGAGAGAGAGAGAGAGAGAGAGAGAGAGAGAGAGAGAGAGAGAGAGAGAGAGAGAGAGAGAAUGAUUUGUUUUCUGUUUUCAUUCUUUUCCUGUUAAUCCGCUUGUCAUCUCCGUCCUUCACUCUUGUCUUCUUGACAUGUACUUUACGUGUGUGUGUGUGUGUGUGUGUGUGUGUGUGUGUGUGUGUGUGUGUUUGCUUAGGUAUGUAUGUAUUCAUGAAUGUAUGAGUAUGUAUGUAUGUAUGUGAGGAAUCCCAGUCGACGGCCUCGCUCAAGUUGCAUUCCAUCCGUACACACGAGAAGAUUCCUGUGUGUGUGUGUGCGUGUGUGUGUGUGUGUGUGUGUGUGCGUGUGUGCGUGUGCAUGUGCGUGUGCGUGUGUGUGUGUGUGUGUGUGUGUGUGUGUGUGUGUGUGUGUGUGUGUGUGUGUGUGUGUGUGUGUGUGUGUGUGUGUGUGUGUGUGACAUGCAACGUAAACAAACUGACCAGCGGCCACAUCACGAACUCUGUCGACACACACACACACACACACACACACACACACACACACACACACACACACACACACACACACACACACAGAGAGAGAGAGAGAGAGAGAGAGAGAGAGAGAGAGAGAGAGAGAGAGAGAGAGAGAGAGAGAGAGAGAGAGAGAGAGAAGGGGGGGCAGGCUACUCCAAUAAUAAUUUAAUUGGCAGCAAACUAUUCGAACAAAACAAAAUGAAUGCAAAUGAGGCUUAAAUAUCACACCUCUAACCUACAUACACGCACACACACACACACACACACACACACACACACACACACACACACACACACACACACACACACACACACACACACACACACACACA